rnacentral:lncRNA from 1 species
AAGGGGCAUCGUCUCCACUGCCAUUACUACCCACCAUGCCCUGAGCCUGAGCUCGCAAUCGGCACGCCGAAGCAUUCUGAUGCAGGAUUCCUCACAGUUCUUCUGCAAAACCAACUUCUUAGCGGCCUGCAGGUUUUGUAUGAAGGUCGAUGGAUCGACAUUCAACCUGUUCAAGGAGCUUUAGUCGUAAACAUUGGUGAUCUUCUUCAGGUAUUUAUAAAAAUCAAUCCAAACUUAUGUUUUCUCACGACGUAGAGGGUUUUUUAGGACACUAACUUAGACUGAUUUGGAAAUUAUGAUAUAUACAAAAUUUCGAGCUUGCAAAAGUAGAGCACUAAUUAAUAAGUAAUGCAUCUGCUGGACAAUUCUCAUCCCAUUUUAAUUAGUAUAUAUUAUACUUUUGCAAGCUCAUUCUAGUUUCGAAUAAGCCCGAGAAACUCUUAAAAUAGGUCGAGAAUUGUCUUGCAAAUGCGUUAAGCUCGAAAAUUAUUAUCUUAACGUCCAACUUAAUUUAAGUUAGUGUCUUAAAAAACCUCUAACUCGUUUUUAUCAUUCUACCCUAUCACUUAAAUUUAGAGUUCAUUUUUUAAUUUAUUACCUAAUAAUUGAUUAUUCCAUUAGAGUAUAUUGCAAAUACAAUAAAGUUUUAGUAACAGUUUUUAAUUAUGGUUCGUCAUAUUACAAUAAUUUUUAUUUUUAUAAUAAAUAUUAUUAAAAAUAUACAUUUAAUAGUGAGACACGAAAAAAUAUGAGAUAGAUGAUCCAACACUAUUAGAAAGCUAGCGCCCGAUUGGCAAUAUCAAUUAACGACGGAUUUAACUACCGUCGCUAAUCUUGCCGUCUUGGCGACGCAUUAGCGACAGUUUAUUUAAUCAAUUGUUUGUAUUUGUUUUGGAUCAGUUGGUGUCAAAUGGAAAAUUCAGAAGCAAUGAGCAUAGAGCGAUAGCAAAUCGCAACGGACCAAGAAUUUCAGUGUCAUGUUUUUUCUCUGGACCUAUAAACAACAUGGCCAAGAUUUAUGGCCCUAUUGAGGAAUUGAUUACAAAAGAAAAUCCAGCAGUUUACAAAGCGGUUGCGAUGCGUGAUUAUCUAAUGAAUUUCUUGAAUACUUCAUUAGAGGAUUAUCGAGCUCUUGAUUAUUACAAGGUGUGAAGAUGGUAAAUGUAAUGGAUGAAGCAUAUAUCAGUGCUCAAGCUUAUGUAGUUGUACAAUGCUUUAAUUACUUGCUAGUUUAUAUGGUCUCUCAAUAAUUACAAUACUCUUAUGGAUAACGAAUGAGAGUGCUCUCCUAUCAAAGGGAAAAAAUAGUGUAAACAAAGUUAAAGAAUAAGGAGACGUUUACAUUAGAGGCUGAGCCUUGAUAGAUAAAAAUAGUAAAAUUAAUCUCUUGUUUAUUUAGAUGGAUUGGAACUUUGGGAUAUCCCGAGCCCUUUGAUUAUUUUUAUCAUUUAAGCUAGUUUUGUUUGAUUUUUAUCUCAUUAAAAGGGUAGGAUUCUUAAAGAUAAAAAUAUUGAAUCAUGUAUCUUAUCAAUCAUGUAAAAUAAACGCUCCAUUAUAUUUUGCGUGAUUGUUUUACUAUUAUCAGCUCUUUGAUCGGGCCGCAUAUCUCGUUCCAAAUUGGUGCAAAUUUUAUAAAUUAUAAUAAUGUAAAACAAUCUAGUAUUUGUGAAACAAAUAAACACGUCCAAAAUUUUCCAUGACAAAAAAAUGGUUUAGUGCAAUUUUUUAAAACAAUGUCCUAGUUUCUCUUUAAAUUUUGUGCCGAUAUUGAAAAAAGAGUACCUAAUUUUUCAGUGGUUCGAAAAUUUUGGAUAUGUUUAUCUUGCUACAAAUAGAAAUUGUAAACAUAAUUUAAGCACGGAUCUAGAACUUCAUGAUUUUCACAUUCAAGUGAAUAGAAAUACUAAUCUUGAUAAGCCAUAGCAAUCGAUGAUGAAGAAAUUGGUUUCUCUCCCCUGACCGUUUCCUUAGCACAGAACCGUCCGUGAGGCGAUAAAGAAUAUAAUUCUGUGAAUUCUUUUAUCGGUGGUGAGAUGAUCAGUUUCUGAUGUAGAUAUAUUUAUACACGUUCUAUCAACGUGGUAGUUAUCAGAAACCCUAAUUGACCAAACUUUUGGAUAUGUUUAUCUUGCUACAAAUAGAAAUAAGAUAAUAAGAUGUUGCUAUUGCAAUAAUUUAUAAUUAACUAUAAAAAAAGAAGAGAACCAUAAUCAAGUCAUCACGGUACAUUAAAAAUAAAUAAAUAAAUAAAAAUCAUAGGCUUUAAAUAAAUAAAAAUCAUAGGCUUACAUGAUAGAAAUAUUUUAGUACUUGCUACUUUCGACAAUGAAAGAGAAACAAUUUUCAACCAAUCUUAUCUGUCCCACAUUUUCCCAGAAACUCAUCUGCUAAAUGAAUUGAGCUUAAUUUAGACACGUGAUGAACUCCUUAAAGCAAAAUAAACAUGCUAAAUGAAUUGUGGCAUACAUUAAAGUCCAUAUCCUCAAGCAUACAUCACCAAUCAAAUGUGAUAAGGUUGAGAUAAAAUAAACCAUGCAAAUAAUUAAAAAAUAAUAACCUCGUUCAAACGUUUGAUUUGAGUGGUAAACUGUAAUGUAAUUGAUAAAAUAAUUAUUUUUUUUUGUAAAAACAUAAACUUUCGCUCUCUCUCUCUUUCUUCCAACAGCCUCUGUCGCCACUGCUCCCUCAGAUCCAUCGCCUGUCUCCUCUCGCGUGCUAGCCGCCGCCUCUGCUAUUUUUCCGUACACGAUUCAUAAUUUGGGUUUGAAAUCGUGACAUCGUGUUUUGUUGGAACCGUGGCUAAGGUGAUUUGUUGGAACCGUGUUUUGUUCUAAUCUUAUCUUUUUUUUUUUUUGAGAGAGUGGAGCUGUGAGGUUUGAACCCUGACCUCAUUGUUCGUAGACAGAAGUUCGCACCGCUUUGUGUCCCUUGGGAACAAUCUAAUCUCAUAUCUCCCCAACAUUUGCCUGUCAACAACUCAUCACAUUAGCUUAAUUAAACAAACUGAAAUCAAUUUAGACAUGUGAUAAACAUAAACUCCUAUAGCUAUAAGCCAAAAAAAAUGUCAACUUAUUUGUGCAUAUAUUAAUUGUUAAGUUCAUAUUCGCGAGCAUCUUCAAUCAGGUGUGAUAAGAUUGGUACAAAGUAAACUAUGUAAUUAAUUAAUCUAAUUAAUUAUGCCCCAGCUGUCCCCACACCUCAUCCUGUCUUCUAGUCUGUAUAAGAGCAUCCGCAAUGGGGGUUCCUUGAUAGCCUACUUGAUAGUGUUUGUGUUAUUGAGUAGGUAGUGCUGCAUUGGGGUUCCUUGAUAGCCUACUUGAUAAUAUUAGUUUUGAUUUUAUGUUUUCAUUUAAAUUUAAUUGCAUAAUUUAAAUAACAUAUUUUUGUAAUAGUUAAAUACGCCAUUAAACAUAAAAUUUAAAAUUACCUAAAACAUAAAAAAAAUUACAUAAAAAUUUAAAAUUACCUAAAACAUAAUUCAAAAUUACAUAAAAAUUUAAAAACACCUAAAACAUAAAAUAAAAAUUCAAAAUUCGAAUAAAAUUCGAAUUUUCCAAUUUUUCUUUUUUUUUUUAAUUGGGCGCGUGCAUUGCACGCGCCAUCCCUUCCCCCCUUCGAGCAUACCCGAUAACUCGAGAACUCCUCGAGGAGCUCCCCCCGCAUCGCGCUCUUCGACGCCCUCCCUCUCCUCGAGUACCCACUGGAGUACCCGCGUUGCGGGUGCUCUAAAAUAUGGAGUUUGUAGGAAAAAAAAAAAAUCCAAAAACAGCAGUAAAACCAAAAAGAAAUGGCAGAUUCAUCAGUUAUUAAUCAGCAAUACGAUCGAUUGCAAAUGCUCAAAGCUUUCGACGAAACAAAAGCCGGCGUCAAAGGCCUCCACGAUUCAGGUCUGCUCAAACUCCCCCAAAUCUUCGUGAGGCCAUCGGAGGAGCUGAUUGCAGAUCUAAAACACGAAAACGCUCAUCAAUUUCAAGUUCCUGUGAUCGAUCUGAGUGGCGUCGACGACGGCGGUAGAAGAAAGCAGAUCGUUGAAGAAGUGAGAAGCGCUGCUGAAACAUGGGGGUUUUUCCAAGUGGUGAACCACGGGAUUCCUCGAUCUGUUUGUGAUGGAAUGAUCGACGGCGUCCGCGAUUUCAACGAGCAGGAUGUGGAUCAGAAGAAGAAGUAUUAUACGCGAGAUAUGAAGAGAAGUGUGAGAUAUCACAGCUGCAGUUUUGAUCUGUUCAGGUCGAGAACUGCUACCUGGAAGGAUACGUUAACCAUUUCGCUUAAUUCUGGCUCUAAUCUUUUCGAUCAUCACGAACUGCCCCCUGUUUGCAGGUUUGAUUUUCUUCUUUUCUCUAAUUGUUUUUGUCUUUGUGAAUUUACUACAUCUUGAAAUCUGUAGUACUGCUUUCUCGGUAGCCUUUCCCAAGUUUACUUGCUCCAUAGUCUCUGCAACAGGGCAUUUGUAGAGAAGAUAAUGUGUUUAGAUUUUGAGAAUGCUUAAAAGCAUAUGAGAAUAAAUUAAUUGUUAGGGGUUACAGAGGAGACACCAACCGAUGCAAACUUUUGUCUGCGAAUAGUGAGGUCUAGAGUUUAAACUUCACGGCACCUCCCUCCCCCAAAUCAAAAAAAAUAAUAAUUGUAUGUGCGUGUGUUAGCCUAACGGUAGGAGGUUAAUUAAUGGUCAAGACCUGAGAUCAUGGAUUCGAGUCCUCCGUCUCGUCGUCUUUAAAGCUUCUUUAUUUACUUUAUGUAAUUUAUAAAAAAAAAAAUUAAAAAUUAAUUGUAAUUAAGGGAUUCUCAUAUGCUUUCGAAUAUAGGGUGGUGGGAGAUUUUUGCCAUAUUAAUUGAAUACGAUUAUAUAUUCGUGAGUUAAUAUUAGUUUACUUUUAGAUUUAUUUAUAAUUCUUAUUUUUCAUAUAUAUAUAUACACACACAUAUAUGAAAGGGAUAGUAUAAAGUACUGAAGCCCUAUACCGCUGUUGGGCUAGGGGUACACAUCGUGGUUCUUGUCCGCAAGCUCGGUGCAAACAAUGGGAAAGAGAGGCGUGUGCAAACACUACUAGGGGCAUUAUUGGGGAUCUCGCACCCAGCAGAGCUCGGUUGGCUCAAAUGGAGGGACCCACCUGUGAGCCGAAGAUGCCGGCUCGCGACAGUGGAUAUGCUCUUAUUCCAUUUGUCCGACUUUAAGUGUCUUAUUUUUGUUUUUGAACUAUCUCACUUCAAAUAUCAUGCUUCUUUAUGGAUAUUUGAGAUCCACAUCACAUGACUUUCUACUUUAAAACACACUACUUAAUAAUCUAACUAAUACUCCCUUCGUCCCACUUCAAUAUGCUCAUUUUUCUUUUUGGGAUGUCACACUCUAAUAGGCUCAUUUUCUAUUUUAAGUAAAAAUGUGUACUUAAUUGAUGUGGACCACACCACUUUACUACCACUUUUUCACUAAAAAGUAAGUUUUCUUAAUCUCUGUGUCCAAAAGAAAUGAGCAUAUUGGAGUGGGACGGAGGAAGUAUCUUUUUAAAUAAUCGUGUCCAAAAGAAACAAGCCACUUAUAAUAGAACGGAUAAAAUAUAUCAUUGAACGAGUCAAAAUAUCAAAUGGGUUCUAGAGUUGAAUGGAGUUUAGACUUGGGUUAAUAUUUAAGAUCCAAAAUUCAUAGUAUUUGUCCGAAAAUCAUUUAUACAGAUGCCAGUCUUUUGAUCUUGAGGUGGUUUCCUGUGAAACCGAUUUCACUGUGAAAUCAGCUUCACGAUGAUAUUACUUCAACAUACAAAUAAUAUUUUAUCAUUAUAAAGUAUCAUUUGUAUGUUGAAGAAGUAUCAUUAUGAAGCUGGUUGCACAGGAGUUUUUGUGAUCCAUCUUCAUGUAUAUUUAUAUAUAUAUGUCGUUGGCGUUUACUGACUAUACUAUACCUACUUACAUGUACACAAUUCGUAGAGAUUCAACUGUUGAAUACUCAAAACAUGUCGAAAAUUUGGGAAAUAUUCUGUUGGGGCUAUUGUCUGAAGCUCUGGGACUAGAAACAGAGUUUUUGGGAAACAUGGAAUGUUCAGAGGGGCAUCGUCUCCACUGCCAUUACUACCCACCAUGCCCUGAGCCUGAGCUCGCAAUCGGCUCGACGAAGCAUUCGGAUGCAGGUUUCCUCACAAUUCUUCUGCAAAACCAACUUGUUAGCGGCCUGCAGGUUUUGUGUCAAGGCCGAUGGAUUGAUAUCCAACCUGUUCAAGGAGCUUUAGUCGUAAACAUUGGUGAUCUUCUUCAG